rnacentral:rRNA from 1 species
UGGGGAAUUUUGGACAAUGGGCGCAAGCCUGAUCCAGCAAUGCCGCGUGAGUGAAGAAGGCCUUCGGGUUGUAAAGCUCUUUUGUCAGGGAAGAAACGGUGCGGGCUAAUAUCCUGUGCUAAUGACGGUACCUGAAGAAUAAGCACCGGCUAACUACGUGCCAGCAGCCGCGGUAAUACGUAGGGUGCGAGCGUUAAUCGGAAUUACUGGGCGUAAAGCGUGCGCAGGCGGUUAUGUAAGACAGAUGUGAAAUGCCCGGGCUUAACCUGGGAACUGCAUUUGUGACUGCAUGGCUAGAGUGUGUCAGAGGGGGGUAGAAUUCCACGUGUAGCAGUGAAAUGCGUAGAUAUGUGGAGGAAUACCGAUGGCGAAGGCAGCCCCCUGGGAUAACACUGACGCUCAUGCACGAAAGCGUGGGGAGCAAACAGGAUUAGAUACCCCCGUAGUCC